rnacentral:rRNA from 1 species
GAUGAACGCUGGCGGCGUGCCUAAUACAUGCAAGUCGAGCGAACGGACGAGAAGCUUGCUUCUCUGAUGUUAGCGGCGGACGGGUGAGUAACACGUGGAUAACCUACCUAUAAGACUGGGAUAACUUCGGGAAACCGGAGCUAAUACCGGAUAAUAUUUUGAACCGCAUGGUUCAAAAGUGAAAGACGGUCUUGCUGUCACUUAUAGAUGGAUCCGCGCUGCAUUAGCUAGUUGGUAAGGUAACGGCUUACCAAGGCAACGAUGCAUAGCCGACCUGAGAGGGUGAUCGGCCACACUGGAACUGAGACACGGUCCAGACUCCUACGGGAGGCAGCAGUAGGGAAUCUUCCGCAAUGGGCGAAAGCCUGACGGAGCAACGCCGCGUGAGUGAUGAAGGUCUUCGGAUCGUAAAACUCUGUUAUUAGGGAAGAACAUAUGUGUAAGUAACUGUGCACAUCUUGACGGUACCUAAUCAGAAAGCCACGGCUAACUACGUGCCAGCAGCCGCGGUAAUACGUAGGUGGCAAGCGUUAUCCGGAAUUAUUGGGCGUAAAGCGCGCGUAGGCGGUUUUUUAAGUCUGAUGUGAAAGCCCACGGCUCAACCGUGGAGGGUCAUUGGAAACUGGAAAACUUGAGUGCAGAAGAGGAAAGUGGAAUUCCAUGUGUAGCGGUGAAAUGCGCAGAGAUAUGGAGGAACACCAGUGGCGA